rnacentral:rRNA from 1 species
GGACCAACAAUAGGCGAUGGCUGCUUUCCAUUUUUAUACUGACGCUGAGGUACGAAAGCAUGGGGAGCGAACAGGAUUAGAGACCCUGGUAGUCCAUGCCCUGACCUAUGAAUAUUAAUCGUCCAUUUAGAUAGUGGAUGACUAAGCUAACGCGAAAAUAUUCCACCUGAGGACUACGGCCGCAAGGUUAAAACUCAAAGAAAUUGGCGGAAGAUCGUUUAAGCGGUGGAGUAUGUGGUUUAAUUCGAUAAUACGCGAAAAACCUUACCAAUCUUUGUGCACAUUUUCGGUUCUACAAAACUUGUAGCCCAAAUUGAGGUGGUCAAUUUGGGCUAGCUAUGUGCCAGGCGUUGCAUGGCUGUCGUAAGCUCGUGUCUUAGGAUGUGUGGUUAACUCCAUGAACGGGCGCAACCCUUGUUCCUAGUUAGAUUAGGAAUGAAAACAGUGAAAACUGCUUUUGAGGAUGAGGAGUAUGUCAAGUCAAUAUGACCUUUAUAGAUUGGGCUACACACGUACUACAACGGUAGCUACAAUGAGAAACAAUGCCGUGAGGCGGAGUAAAUCUCUAAAACCUACCCUAGUUCGGAUUAUUUUUUGAAAUAAAAAUAUGAAGCCGGAAUCGCUAGUAAUCGCAAAAAAGAAUGUUGCGGUGAAUAUUAAGACCGAUCUUAGUACACACCGCCCGUCACGCCAUGGAAGCUUGUUUGGUUUGAAGAUAUUAAGUCACAUGUUUCGAAG